CCUGGUCCCGUGGAGAGCCGGGCAGCGUGGGGGCAGAGGCUGGCCCUCCUGAUCUGCACCCAGGCGGCUUCUACACCACCCUGCAGCAGGCCUGGCCACCGGCCUCAGCGCUUCUGGGAGAAGCAGGCAGAUGAGCCCUGGGACCCAGCUGGCCAACCCACCUGACCACGGUGACAAGGACUGCUUGGGAAGGAUAAGCCCAGGUUCGGGAAAGCAAAUUCAGGCUGCAGGACAGCUGCCCGGGCCCCCCACAAGCCUGGCACCAGCCCAGGGAAGACUGAGGAGCCUCACUCCAUGGGGACUGCAAACACCUGAACACAGCGAACCUGAAGGUAUAGGGCAUCUUCAGGCUGCUACUGAGGCGGUCCUGCCGCACUCAACCCAGAACCUCAUCACUAAAAGGAACCUCAUGGUUCAGGCUAGAGUGCAGUGGCGCGAUCUCGGCUCACUGAAACCUCCGCCUCCCAGGUUCAAGCAAUUCUCCUGCUUCAGCCUCCCAAGUAGCUAGGAGUACAGGGUGUCCCAAAAGCAGCAGCCGCGAGUAGAAUUUGCCUUGGGUCAUUGCUGUAGUCUCCCGCAUCCAGGAAAGAUCUAGGCCGCUCGCUUUCCACAAACCUUCUGGCUGAAACAAGCCACUUACCUGGCUGCAGUGAAGACACUGAUGCCGCUACUGAAGCUGGAGUCACAGGAACCAUCUGGACCUCCUGGGAGAGGAAGAGGAACAAGGGGUCAUGAAAGGCUGUUGGCUCUCUUGAAUAAACAAGACCCCUGUGACAAGCACACACAGAACUCUCCAGAGCCCCAUACCUUGAUUCAGGCUCUUCAAAAGGACCAUGGCUCUGGAGCCCUGAGGACCCAACCAACGCCCAGUCAUUCUCGAUAGUCCCCAAGCUUGUAAGUCUGUAGUCACAGUGAUCUCACAAGGAGGGGACACCAGUGCUAAACACAUCUGUCAAAUCUCAGAAGGGAUCACUGGCCUGAGGGGAAUGGAUGUUUAAAAUGACAGAUAAUACCCAGCAUCCUUAGCUAUCAGGAAAAUGCAAAUCCAAACCACAAGAUACUACUGUACACCCAUCAGGAUGGCUAAAAUAAAAGACAAAUAAUAGCAAGUGUUGAUGAGAAUGUGGAGAAACUGGAACCCUCGUACAUUGCUGGUGGGAAUGUAAAAUGGUGCAAGCUGCUUUGGAGAACAGUCUGGCCAUUCCUCCAAAGGCUAAACAUAGUCACCACAUGACUCAGCAGCUCCACUCCUAGGUAUAUGCCAAAGAGAAAUGAAAACUUAUGGCCACAUGAAACCUUGUAUAUCAAUCAUGUUCACAUCAGCAUUAUCUACAAUAGCCAAAAAGCAGAAGCAACCCAAAUAUCUAUCAACAGAUGAAUGGAUAAAUGAGGUGUGGUAUAGCCAUACAAUGGACUAUUAUUUGGCAAUAAAAAGGGAUGAAGUACUGAUGCACGCCAUAAAAAUGAACUUUAAAAACAUUGUGUUAAGUGAAAGAAGCCAGUCAUAAAAGACUACAUAUUGUAUCCCUUUCUCGAAAGUGUUUAGAACAGGCAAACCUAUGGAGACGGAAAAUGGACUGGAGGUUGCCUAGGACUGGAGGAGACGGGGGAAUAGGGUAUAAUGGCUAAUGGAUUCUUUCAAGGGCACGGAAAAUAUUCUAAAAUUGAUUGUGGUGAUGGUUACAUAACCCUGUGAAUCUACAAAGUCACUGAAUUGUACACUUGAUGUUGGGUGAAUUGUGUGGUACAUGAAUUCUAUCUCAAUAAAGGGCUUAAAAAAUG
rnacentral:lncRNA from 1 species